rnacentral:ribozyme from 1 species
UUUUUUUUUUUUUUUUUUUUUUUUUCUCCAACUCUAUAGCACUACCACUCUGACAUAAAUA